CACUGUGGUCUAGAAGCUGCAGAGCAGAAGAAUAACGUGCUGGCGAAUAUGUAGCGCAGAGGCCCUAACCUCAACGAAAGGUGGCGUCGUGGCUUCGCCAGCCCCUGGCGAGGAUGUAGGUACCCGCGACCUGGGCGAGAACCAGUGGCUGGAGGAAGGAGGAUGAAGAGUGGGCACCAUUCGCCAGAGAUUGGAACCCGCAGCCAUGGCGUGGACGGCCCGGGGUUUAUGCGUUAACCUAAUGGAAGAAGGGGUCUAGGGGGUGCUUAUAUGCACGGAUAGAGCCGUGAGGACGGCGGGCAGAACGACCCUGGAAUCCGGCUGGCGCGUAGCUAGCGCGCGGUAGUUUCGCC
rnacentral:lncRNA from 7 species